rnacentral:misc_RNA from 1 species
AAAAAAGAAGGGCUAGUCUUUAUCAUUCAUUCGCUAAUGGCUUUAGGUUUAAUUACAUGUUUAGAACACCAAAUCACUAAAAACCUGCAACUAUGGUAUUACAAGAAAACCACAUGAUACAUUUCAGAGUUCUGACUCUUAUUAUUAAUAAAGCUAAUGCAUAGCAAAGGUGCAGAAAUAAAAGUACAUAUAAUCGCUGGUAGCUAAUUAACCAGGCAAUGAAAACAUCCCUGUCCAUUUAAUUUAUACAUUAGCAAAGGUGCCUGAUACAAUACAAGUUGGUCACUCUUCUCGGCCACCACCUUUCAAGAACCGCAUGAACCAAAAAGCAGAAGAUUUUGGGUGUCGGGCAAGUCUAUUCUUGUAAUCCAUGUAGUUUAAACCAAAACGUUUAGUGUAACCUUGAACCCACUCAAAAUUGUCCGCCAAUGACCAUGUAAAAUAUCCCCUCACAUCUGCUUCAUCCCUGUCCAUUUAAUUUAUGCGCGAGAUUUCAAAAUACCUCUCUUGAUAAAACAACUUUUCAUAAUGCUUUUAUAUACACGCUAGCAAAUUUAAGAAGGUAAAUGCAAAAUAAUUUAGCAACCAAGAGAUGAUCUACAUGCAGCAAAGCCAUCUUCUUUUAAACCAUCCUGAAGCACAAUUCCAAUCGUCCUUUUGAUAUGUUAACUUGAUUGCCUGAGCAACUGCAGCA